GUGAUGCUGGCUCCCAAGGGCGGUUCUGUGGCUGUCGGAACCACCGCUGAGGCUUCUGUUCUUUGGUUCAGACGGUAUUCUUUAGUUACAGAUUAAGUUAUCGGAGCCAUAUGUUGCGCGUAAGGGUUGUCUUUGCUGCUGCAAAAGUGAACAAAGCUGUGAUGUAAGCUGCCGGUAAACUCGGGUUGAUUGAGAGUUCCGGUGACGCGUUUGAAUUAUGGAUAUGCGUUUUGAGGAUAUGGAUGCAGAAGUCACAAAGAGUUUAUUUAAUUGUUGUGGAAAUGCUCUGUGUUGCUUUAGAUUAUUAUUUAUUGUAUCCUCACCUUCAACUUGAUAUAUUUUGUAAGAGGGAUAGGGAUUGUAUUGGUUAAUGUCUGUAAUAUUAUUUAUAUAUAUGUAUGUAUAUAUAUGGA